UACGGAGGGCGCAAGCGUUAUCCGGAAUCACUGGGUGUAAAGGGUGCGUAGGCGGCUCGGUAAGUCAGUUGUGAAAUCCCGUUGCUUAACGAGGGAGGUGCGAUUGAUACUGUCGAGCUUGAAUCGGGAUGAGGCAGCCGGAAUGUGCCAUGUAGCGGUGAAAUGCAUAGAUAUGGCGUAGAACACCGAUUGCGAAGGCAGGCGGCUGGGCCUGUCUUGACGCUGAGGCACGAAAGCGUGGGGAGCAAACGUG
rnacentral:rRNA from 1 species